rnacentral:rRNA from 1 species
AAUAUUGCACAAUGGGCGCAAGCCUGAUGCAGCCAUGCCGCGUGUAUGAAGAAGGCCUUCGGGUUGUAAAGUACUUUCAGCAGUGAGGAAGGUGGAUAUGUUAAUAGCAUAUUCAUUUGACGUUAGCUGCAGAAGAAGCACCGGCUAACUCCGUGCCAGCAGCCGCGGUAAUACGGAGGGUGCGAGCGUUAAUCGGAAUUACUGGGCGUAAAGCGCAUGCAGGUGGUUUGUUAAGUCAGAUGUGAAAGCCCGGGGCUCAACCUCGGAAUUGCAUUUGAAACUGGCAAACUAGAGUACUGUAGAGGGGGUAGAAUUUCAGGUGUAGCGGUGAAAUGCGUAGAGAUCUGAAGGAAUACCGGUGGCGAAGGCGGCCCCCUGGACAGAUACUGACACUCAGAUGCGAAAGCGUGGGGAGCAAACAGGAUUAGAUACCCUGGGAG